rnacentral:rRNA from 1 species
AUUGAACGCUGGCGGAAUGCUUUACACAUGCAAGUCGAACGGCAGCACGGACUUCGGUCUGGUGGCGAGUGGCGAACGGGUGAGUAACAUAUCGGAACGUAUCCAAUAAUGGGGGAUAACGAGUCGAAAGAUUCGCUAAUACCGCAUACGCCCUACGGGGGAAAGCUGGGGACCUUCGGGCCUGGCGUUAAUGGAGCGGCCGAUAACUGAUUAGCUAGUUGGUGAGGUAAAGGCUCACCAAGGCGACGAUCAGUAGCUGGUCUGAGAGGACGACCAGCCACACUGGAACUGAGACACGGUCCAGACUCCUACGGGAGGCAGCAGUGGGGGAACUUUGGACAAUGGGCGCAAGCCUGAUCCAGCCAUUCCGCGUGAGUGAAGAAGGCCUUCGGGUUGUAAAGCUCUUUCGCAAGGGAAGAAAACUUAGCCACUAACAUUGGUUGAGGUUGACGGUACCUUGAUAAGAAGCACCGGCUAACUACGUGCCAGCCGCCGCCGUAA